UACGGAGGGCGCGAGCGUUACCCGGAUUUACUGGGCGUAAAGGGCGUGUAGGCGGCUUGGGGCGUCCCAUGUGAAAGGCCACGGCUCAACCGUGGAGGAGCGUGGGAUACGCUCAGGCUAGACGGUGGGAGAGGGUGGUGGAAUUCCAGGAGUAGCGGUGAAAUGCGCAGAUACCGGGAGGAACGCCGAUGGCGAAGGCAGCCACCUGGCCCACAUGUGACGCUGAGGCGAUAAAGCGUGGGGAGCAAACCGG
rnacentral:rRNA from 1 species